GCCGGAGUAGCUCAGUGGUAGAGCGGCUGUUUUGUAAACAGCGGGUCGCGGGUUCGAGUCCUGUCUUCGGCUCCA
rnacentral:tRNA from 1 species